AUUAUGUGAUUUUAAAAGAAGUAUCAGAAACAGUUUUUGAUCUAACUAACUCAAUAAGUUUCAAUAAUGUAAUAGAAGAAAUGAAAGGACUCUAUUCACUCGAAAUAAUUAGUGGUAUUAAUAACAAGUGGGCGGUGACGUGUAAAGUGUUGGGGCUAUCAAUAUGGGUGUGUGAAGUCGCUAGUGAAGGAAUCAUUAAUAGCUUAUGAAACAACUAGAGGAGGAGGAGGAGAAAGAGGGAGAAGAAAUGGAGAAUGAGACCCAUACUGACCAACUUUGGUACUGGAACAAGUUUCAGUUUUUGGUAGCUAAAUUAUCAUUUCUUGGUCUGAGAGACCAGCUCCUAUCUCAUUCUACCGUCCUUGCCAUUGAGAAUAAAGUUAAAGAUUAUGUGACUGAUUGUUACUCCGACAUAUUUGACGAGAGUUUGUUGGGCAUAGUCAUCAAGGAAAUUCAGGAUUUAUUAAGCAGUUGGCUCAAUGCCAUAUAUGGUGACAUUAGUAAGGAGUGGUCUGGUAGGAUAUUACAUCCCAUAUACAAUUGCUAUGGACAAUUAUGGUAUUACAUGUACAUGUAUGUUUCAGCUUUUUUUGCUUAGGAUCUGUGAAUUGUUUGAUAUUAUUGUUGAUUUUCCUGAUUCAGAAUCAGUCCUGGUUGAUUUGUGUGAGUGCUUGUGUCACAUUGAUUUGAGACAAGAGCUCAUGGAACCAUUAAUUAAAGUGUUAGACUCAAAUUUGCAUGUAACAAAUCCAUUUUCUCUUCUAAUAAAUUAAAUUAAUUUUUACAAAUGUGUUAUUAUUAUUAUUUAGAAUAAAUUGAUCUCU